rnacentral:rRNA from 1 species
UACGUAGGUCGCAAGCGUUGUCCGGAUUUACUGGGCGUAAAGAGCGCGCAGGCGGCUGGUCAAGUCCGAUGUGAAAUCUCCCGGCUCAACUGGGAAACUGCAUCGGAAACUGAUCGGCUUGAAGAUGGGAGAGGGUAGUGGAAUUCCCGGUGUAGUGGUGAAAUGCGUAGAUAUCGGGAGGAACACCAGUGGCGAAGGCGACUACCUGGCGCAUUCUUGACGCUGAGGCGCGAAAGCUAGGGGAGCGAACGGG